CAGGUAGUAAACAAACAGUGUAAGGAAAAUGGCUGGUGCUUAGUGAGGUAUUUAUUCAGAGAUUGUGCAUUUUUGUGAUUAAACCACAACAGCAAAAGAAUUUUCAAAGUUAUGAUGUCCACAGGGGAAUGAAAUGGUGUAAAUUACCGCUAGAGCUAAUAGACUGACUGAAACAUGACUCCUUCAUUACUCUUUCAUUAUGAGUGCACAUGUACCCUCCUGCAGUAAACUGGAUCAAAGACACUUUUCACUGCUUCCUGUUAAAACUUUAUGGUGUGAGCUGAUGUAAAGGCAGUUAAGAAUGCCAUUAGACAUUAGAGAAAAAUCAAUGUGGCACUUAUUGCUGCAUCAAAAUGAGCUAAUUUAAUGUUCAAAAUUCUUUAUUUUGUUUUUACUAGAUGUUUAGUCUACAGGAUCUAAACCAUUUCACAGAAUAUCUUGGUAUGACUGUAGGUUAAUUAUUUUAGAAAUAGUAUAUGACACUGUCAGUCAAUGUUUAGGUGACAUACAGGACAAAUGAUCCAUCUGUGUAAAAUAUAAUCCAAAAUGUUAAUUCUAUUGUGAUUUUAUCUCAACAUUUUUAUCAUAAGUCAAGAUAAAUUCAGCUCAAAGACACACAGACAGCAGUCCGGCGCUACACAAAAUUCUUCACAACUGUUAUUCAAACAUGGUGAUGUUCACAGUAGAGUGAGAGUUUAAACCCAAGCGCUAGAGUAAUUGCAGGGUGUACAGAAAGAUGGGAACACACACGCGCUCCACUGCAGGUGCACUUGAUGAUGUCUGUUAUUAGGGGUUUACACGGUGUAUUGACUGUUUGAAAUGAUAGAAAAGACACAUUUUGUGCCAUAAGUUAGAAAAGGUCUAGGUCAUGUCAUGUAACCCUGUGCCAUGUCAUCUGUCACUUCAUAACUAGUGUCAGGUCAUUGUUGGCUUCCCUUUGCUUUAAUGAAAAAUUUUAAAAAAGCCGCCAAGGAACAAUCAGCCUUCUAAAUGCCUUGUAAAAUUCAACAUCAAACGUAGCAUGUAUUAGAGGUUACUUAGGCGAAUGCCAGCAUCUUAAAGGACUCCCGCUGAUUCCAGUGACCCUGCACCAGGGUGACUACAUCCAUCCAGGAACUGCCUCCCUUGGACUUCCUGUUCUGUGUUAGUGCUUUUCACAUCAAUGAGGGAGAUAUCCGGGUCAGCGCAGUGUAGGAUUACACUAAAAAGGGCAGACGUCUUAUUGAAACAUCAUGAGAAAACUCCAGACACAUUUUCAUGUGGUUAGACAAGAUAUAUGCGUUUUCUCAAAUCUUUACUUCAUUUUAAGCUGCUAAAUUGUUAUAUCAUCCACACUGUUCAGAAGUUGAGUCAGUAAGAAUUAUUUUUUCUUUGAAUGAAAUUAAUACUAUUAUUUAGUGAGGCUAUAUUAAAUAGAUCAAAAGUGACAGUAAAAACAUUUAUAAUGUUAUAAAUUUCUAUUUCAAGUAAAUGCUGUUCUUUUGACCUUUUUAUUAAUCAAAGAAUCCUGAAAAAGUUUUACGCAGCAAUAUUUUUCAACAUCGAUAAUACGAAAUGUUUCUUGAGUAUCAAAUCAGCAUAUUAGAAUGAAUUCUGAAGGAUCAUGUGACACUGAAGACUGGAGUAAUGAUGCUGAAGAUUCAGCUUUGCCAUCACAGGAAUAAAUUAUAUUUUAAUAAUAUUUCACAACAUUGUUUUAUUGAGACUUCCUAUAAAAACCGUUCAAAAAUCUUACUGACCCCAAACUUUUGAAUGGUAUAGUGUAUAUCUGGUGGUGAUUACUCAUUGUUCACGUUGGGGUUUAUGUUGUACAAGAUGGUUUCCUUCGGACUGUUUAGACUGAGAAAAGGUCAAUGGCGCUACAAAUCAGCCAAGUACUAUAGCAGCAAAGGAAUUUUGUUUUCCUGUGUUUGUUUCCAGUGUUGCUUGGUGUAUAGACUGAAACAUGCAUACCGGAAGAGUUACUGUAAAUAACAAGCUGGUUGGUUCCCCAAAGUGUGUUUUAUACAAUCUACUGUAUCGUUUAGCUAUAUAGGCUUUAGACCAUAAUGAUAAAUAUAAAACAUACUUAAAAUAACGAAACGAAGGACUAUUUACUAAUGCAGUUACCUGCAUAAAGCCUUGAUUAAAGCCAUGUAGACAGCACAGGGGUGUGGUGUUCCCACUGGGAGAUGCCAAUAAGCCAGUCAAACACAACCGCACAGGUUUCUCACACUGUAACCCAGUAUUCCCUUGCCUUAGAGGCAGGAAAAAGGAUAAUUUCCUCAACAACUGCUCCACUUUGCAUGUCCCUGGGGUUGUCCAGCUGACUAAGAACUGCAUAUAAGUGCCUCUCAAACACUGCAGGGCCUAGCAGUUGAUAAUAAUGCCACUGGCACAGAUGCCCAUCAAUGGUGUCUCUCAUGUAUAACAGACUUAAAGCAACACGUAAGCGGGCGGUUUUCUUGUUUUUGACUGUUAAGUGAAGGAAUCACGAGAAGCAGACUAUAUAGCCUGCUGGUGUAUAUCAGUCAGAAACAUUUUUUAUUAUCAAUGUUGAAAACAGUUGUGCUGUGUAAUAUUUUUGUGGUAACUGUGAUACAUUUUUUCAGAAUUCUUUGAUAAAUAGAAAGUUCAAAAAACAGCAUUUAUUUUUAAUAAAUGCCUUUAGUGUGACUUUGGAUUAAAGGGUUAGUUCACCCAAAAAUGAAAUUUAUGUCAUUAAU